GAUGAACGCUAGCUACAGGCUUAACACAUGCAAGUCGCGGGGCAGCAUGGGGGUUGCUUGCAAUCCCCGAUGGCGACCGGCGCACGGGUGAGUAACGCGUAUCCAACCUGCCCUUCACCACGGGAUAACCCGGCGAAAGUCGGACUAAUACCGUAUGUUGUCCAUUGACGGCAUCCGAUCUGGACGAAAGGCUUGGCGGUGAGGGAUGGGGAUGCGUCCGAUUAGCCAGACGGCGGGGUAACGGCCCACCGUGGCUACGAUCGGUAGGGGUUCUGAGAGGAAGGUCCCCCACACUGGAACUGAGACACGGUCCAGACUCCUACGGGAGGCAGCAGUGAGGAAUAUUGGUCAAUGGGCGUAAGCCUGAACCAGCCAAGUAGCGUGCAGGAUGACGGCCCUAUGGGUUGUAAACUGCUUUUAUGCGGGGAUAAAGUGGCCCACGUGUGGGCUUUUGCAGGUACCGCAUGAAUAAGGACCGGCUAAUUCCGUG
rnacentral:rRNA from 1 species